GUGGGACGUGAGAGGGUAACUAUUUAGGUAAAGGUGCAGAGGAGCUGGGAUGGGUAAGAAAGGCUGGCGGAAACCAAAGGACGGUUAGCUAGAAACAGUCACCAGAGUGGCUCCGGGUGCGCGGUGCUAGCCAGGAGGGCAUUUAUUUGUUCAUCAGGUGUUUAAUCUGGGCCAGUUCUCCAACAGUGACGGGGAGACAGGGUCCAGAGUGCAGAGGAGAUUAUAGCCGAACAACAGCAAUUUGGGGUUCAUGGAUAGAGUUUGUCUCUGGGGUCCUGGGAGGUUUUGACUUGGCUCAUGGAGAAAAGAAAGAAAGAAAGAAAGAGAGAGAGAGAGAGAGAGAGAGAGAGAGAGAGAGAGAGAGAGAACCCGAAAAGCCAAACUUGGCAACAACAAAACUCUCAGUGUCCAAAGGCCCCCGUGGAGGAAGAAGACUCCAGGAUGGAGAGAUGGAAGGUGCACAGGCAGAGGUCAGAGGACAACUUGCAGGAGCCUGCUUUCUCCUUCACCAUGUGGAACCCAGGAAUUGAACUCAGAUAGGGUCCUAUGGAGCCCAGGCUGUCCUUGAACUAUCCAAGGAUGACCUUGAACUCCUAAUCAUCUUUCUCCCAAGAGCUAGAGUUACAGCCGGGUUCCAGCAUGUCUGCCUAGAAGGAGGACCUGCAUUCCUUACUAUUUUGAAUUUUGUACCACAUUCAAGUGCUAUUUAACUAAUAAAUAAAGCCUAGCAGAGACAAAGUGUCACCCAUGAAUUCUAGACCAGCAUGGGCUACAGAGUGGAUUAAAAACAAAGCAAAACAAAACAAACAAAAAAAACCUGUGUUGCCUGUAUGUAAAUACAUUUUUUUAAAAACUUUAAAUGAAUCCUUUUUCAAGGUUCAUUUGUAAUGCGAGCAGCCACUCCCUAAUUUGUUUUGGAAAUGUUGACAUUUGUGUGUACUGGAUUUUCUUAAACCAUGAAAGACCAACAUCUGGGAACCACACCCUGAACCUUUAAGUUUGUCACUGACAAAACCAGCCAAGCGAGUGUGACGUUAUAAAACAAAACCACAAAGGUAGUCCAGAGAGGGUGAGCUGCUAGACAGGGUGUGUGUGUG